AUGGGUGCCUAAAGAAUUACCUUUCUAUGGUCUGUUGGCUAUUUCAGAACUUUGGAAAUGUAAUGGUCAAUUCAUUAGAAAGAAACAGUA
ensembl:snoRNA